AUUGAACGCUGGCGGCAGGCCUAACACAUGCAAGUCGAGCGAGCGGCGGACGGGUGAGUAAUGUAUGGGGACUGCCCGAUAGAGGGGGAUAACUACUGGAAACGGUGGCUAAUACCGCAUACUAUCGGAUAACCCAUAUGGGAUUAGCUAGUAGGUGGGGUAAAGGCUCACCUAGGCGACGAUCUCUAGCUGGUCUGAGAGGAUGAUCAGCCACACUGGGACUGAGACACGGCCCAGACUCCUACGGAGGCAGCAGUGGGGAAUAUUGCGCAAUGGGGGCAACCCUGACGCAGCCAUGCCGCGUGAAGGAAGAAGGCCUUCGGGUUGUAAAGUUCUUUCGGUAGCGAGGCGUUACUCGCAGAAGAAGCACCGGCUAACUCCGUGCCAGCAGCCGCGGUAAUUC
rnacentral:rRNA from 1 species